rnacentral:rRNA from 1 species
UACGUAGGGGGCGAGCGUUGUCCGGAUUUAUUGGGCGUAAAGAGCUCGUAGGCGGUUUGUCACGUCGGCUGUGAAAACCCGAGGCUCAACCUCGGGCCUGCAGUCGAUACGGGCAGACUAGAGUAUGGCAGGGGAGACUGGAAUUCCUGGUGUAGCGGUGAAAUGCGCAGAUAUCAGGAGGAACACCGGUGGCGAAGGCGGGUCUCUGGGCCAUAACUGACGCUGAGGAGCGAAAGCGUGGGGAGCGAACAGG